GCGGGUGUAGCUCAGUUGGUAGAGCGUCGGCUUCCCAAGCCGAAGGUCGCGGGUUCGAACCCCGUCGCCCGCU
rnacentral:tRNA from 1 species